rnacentral:rRNA from 1 species
CCCUAUUAUUUUAGAAUGUUAAUUUUUUGUGCCUGAGUAGUAUUAGCUAUGUUCUUGAAACUUAAAGAAUUUGGCGGUAUCUCAUUCCGUCCAGAGGAAUCUGUCCCGUUAUCGAUAGUCCACGUUGGACCUUACUUAUUUGAUUUUGGUUUGUAUACCGCCGUUUAUUGAUUAUCCUUUUAGGGGUUGUGUUAAUUUUCUGGUUUCUUUAUUUUGAGAUAUUUCAGGUCAAGGUGCAGCUUGUUUUUAAGUGGAAUGAUGGAUUACAUUGUUAUUUGUUUAUGGAUUGUUGGUUUCAAUAUUGGCAUGAAAUUGGAUUUGGUUGUAAUAAUUUGUAGAUUGUUAUUAUGAUAAUUGGUUCUGGGAUAUGCACACAUCGCCCGUCGCUCUCGUUUGUUUAUUAUAAUGAGAUAAGUC